rnacentral:lncRNA from 1 species
CUAGGAUCUGCUACUCAUUUGGGGAUGAUACAGUUGCUUUGCAAUUGUCUUGCUGGAAAAAGGCUCUUGAUGAAGGCGCUGUGGCUAGAAGUGCUGUAAACUUCAGGGAAGUGAACACCUGCUGGCCCUUCCUCUCGUUUUGUGUUGGGUAUUGUCUGCCUCCUGACUUACCUGAGGGUUUCACGGAUCCAUGCACAUGGCUCUGGACCUGGAAUAGAUCUUCAGCUCAGGGAAAGCUUCAGUGGAGGAAGAAGUACAGACCGGAAUGGAAAACAGAGUACAGAUUGGCAUGAAAAUAGAGAAUCUUUAAGACCUAGACUGGGAGAGAUGAGGCACCUCUAUAUAACCCUCCUACCACAUCAAAUUCAUCUGUAAACCAACAAAAAGUAAGUGGAGAAAAAUGAUGCUCAUGUAUUAACUGUUUACUAAUUUCUGU